AAGUCGAGCGAACGGACGAGAAGCUUGCUUCUCUGAUGUUAGCGGCGGACGGGUGAGUAACACGUAGAUAACCUACCUAUAAGACUGGGAUAACUUCGGGAAACCGGAGCUAAUACCGGAUAAUAUUUUGAACCGCAUGGUUCAAAAGUGAAAGACGGUCUUGCUGUCACUUAUAGAUGGAUCCGCGCUGCAUUAGCUAGUUGGUAAGGUAACGGCUUACCAAGGCAACGAUGCAUAGCCGACCUGAGAGGGUGAUCGGCCACACUGGAACUGAGACACGGUCCAGACUCCUACGGGAGGCAGCAGUAGGGAAUCUUCCGCAAUGGGCGAAAGCCUGACGGAGCAACGCCGCGUGAGUGAUGAAGGUCUUCGGAUCGUAAAACUCUGUUAUUAGGGAAGAACAUAUGUGUAAGUAACUGUGCACAUCUUGACGGUACCUAAUCAGAAAGCCACGGCUAACUACGUGCCAGCAGCCGCGGUAAUACGUAGGUGGCAAGCGUUAUCCGGAAUUAUUGGGCGUAAAGCGCGCGUAGGCGGUUUUUUAAGUCUGAUGUGAAAGCCCACGGCUCAACCGUGGAGGGUCAUUGGAAACUGGAAAACUUGAGUGCAGAAGAGGAAAGUGGAAUUCCAUGUGUAGCGGUGAAAUGCGCAGAGAUAUGGAGGACACCAGUGGCGAAGGCGACUUUCUGGUCUGUAACUGACGCUGAUGUGCGA
rnacentral:rRNA from 1 species